AUUGAAGGCUGGCGGCAGGCCUAACACAUGCAAGUCGAGCGGAUGAAUUUAGCUGGCUCCUGUAUUCAGCGGCGGACGGGUGAGUAAUGCCUAGGAAUCUUCCUGGGAGUGGGUGAUAACGUCCGGAAACGGGCGCUAAUACCGCAUACGUCCUGACAGAGAAAGUGGGGGAUCUUCGGACCUCACGCUAUCAGAUGAUCCUAGGUCGGAUUAGCUAGUUGGUGGGGUAAAGGCCUACCAAGGCGACGAUCCGUAACUGGUCUGAGAGGAUGAUCAGUCACACUGGAACUGAGACACGGUCCAGACUCCUAGGGGGGGCAGCAGUGGGGAAUAUUGGACAAUGGGCGAAAGCCUGAUCCAGCCAUGCCGCGUGUGUGAAGAAGGUCUUCGGAUUGUAAAGCACUUUAAGUUGGGAGGAAGGGCAGUAAGUUCAUACCUUGCUGUUUUGACGUUACCAACAGAAUAAGCACCGGCUAACUUCGUG
rnacentral:rRNA from 1 species